rnacentral:tRNA from 1 species
GGCGGGGUAGCUCAGAAGGUUAGAGCGGGGGACUCAUAAGCCCCAGGUCGCGAGUUCGAUUCUCGCCCCCGUCA